rnacentral:rRNA from 1 species
GACGGGGCCCGGCACAAGCGGAGGAACAUGUGGUUUAAUUCGAUGAUACGCGAGGAACCUUACCCGGGCUUGAAUUGCAGAGGAACAUAGUUGAAAGAUUAUGGCCGCAAGGUCUCUGUGAAGGUGCUGCAUGGUUGUCGUCAGCUCGUGCCGUGAGGUGUCGGCUUAAGUGCCAUAACGAGCGCAACCCUUAUCAUUAGUUACUAACAGGUCAUGCUGAGGACUCUAGUGAGACUGCCGUCGUAAGAUGUGAGGAAGGUGGGGAUGACGUCAAAUCAGCACGGCCCUUACGUCCGGGGCUACACACGUGUUACAAUGGGGGGUACAGAGGGCAGCUACCGGGCGACCGGAUGCCAAUCCCAAAAACCUCUCUCAGUUCGGAUCGAAGUCUGCAACCCGACUUCGUGAAGCUGGAUUCGCUAGUAAUCGCGCAUCAGCCACGGCGCGGUGAAUACGUUCCCGGGCCUU